AGUGAGGAAUUAAGCAGCUCAGUGAGACCCUGUCUCUAAAUAAAAUACAAAAUAGGGCUGGGGAUGUGGCUCAGUGGUUAAGUGCCUCCGAGUUCAAUCCCCAGUACCUGCCCCCACCAAAAAAAAAAAAAACUAAACCACACUGAGAUUCCACCUGACUCUAUUCGGUGUGGUAAUUACCAAGAAUGCAAGUAACAAUAAAGGUUGAGGAGGAUUGCAGAAAGAGAUUCAUUCACACACUGCUGGUGGGAGUGCAAAUUGGUGCAGCCAGUAUGGAAAACAGUGUGGAGAUUCUUUAGAAAAAGGAGAAUGGAAGCACCAGUUGAGCCACUUACACCAUGCUUUGGUAUAUACCUACAGGACUUCAAACCACCAUACUUUAGUGACCCAGCCACAUUCAUGUUUAUAGAAGCUCAAGUCACAAUAGCUAAGUAUGAAACCAACCUAGGUGGCCUUCAACAGGUGAAUAAAGAAAGAAAACGUGAGAUAGAUAGAUAGAUGAUAGAUAGAUAGAUAUAGAGGGGAGGGAAGGAGGGAGGAGGGCAAGAAAGGGAAGGAAGAAGGAUCCAAGGGCUCAGAGACUGAUGGGUUGGUGCCCAGGGGCAUACAGCAGUCCGUGGGCUCUUCUCGGCGUGGGCCAGUUUUCUCUCCACAAUUUCCUCUCAGGACCAACGUGGAGAUCCAGGUGUUGGGAAGCAUACGCAUUGGGAGUGGGCGUCACUGCUCUGAGCUGCUGUCAGUCACAGUCCUGAGACACACUUCCUCCGCGUGUUGCCAUCCACAGGUCACAUCACAUAGGUUAAUACUUUAUCCCAAGCCACACUAACUCUGUGCCUCAAUGUGAGUGGCCCUAGGUUGGCUCAUUAUGAUUGGAACCAAGAAAGCAAUCCAGGCUCCUCUGACCUUGGACAAUGACAGAUCCACUCAAGAAGUUUCCCUCCAGACUCUUCUUGUUCACCAUUGUCUGAGGACGGGAGAGGAAUUGGCCUUGCCUUUGGGGACACCGUCCCUGCCUACUGUAAGACAGGUCCUGUCAGGCCUCACCAGAACACCAAGGUCACCAGUCCUCUGAGGGGUGAGCUCAGGCCCUGGGUCCCAUAUGACCUCCUCCUGAAGGCUCAGCCUCAUGUCUGAAUGCACAAGAGGCAGGGGAGGCAGGGAGGUGCUGCGGGAAGGCAUUUUGGAGUCCGACUCUUGCCACAU
rnacentral:lncRNA from 1 species